UUUUAAGGGGGGGGGGGGAGAAUCUUUAAACGCUUCCUGCAGUGUGGCGCUUCGGCCACACGGCGGCAGCACUGAGUUAGCGUUGCCAUUUUUACCAUUUUAUCGGAUUUGGGGAUCGACAAAACGGGCGCCGAAUCGGCCGGAGCAGCAGCUCCCGCGGCGCCGCCCGCACAACCCUCGCCCGCUGCCGGGCUCCGGAGCGUUGCAAACCAUGCUUUCCCUCGGGCCGACCCUGACCGAGACGCCGGCGCUUCGGCCCGCUUCCGCGGAGCACGGACGCUCCCGGGCAGGAAAACAGGGCCGCGCUGACGUUCAGGCGCGGCUGCGGGCUCCGCGCUUCAGCACCGAGGAGACAGCUUCAGACUUGUCUACAGCCAGGAAAUCUCACCCGCCUUAACUGCUCUCUAAGCAGUUUUGGGGAGAGCCCCAUACGGGGCGGGGCGUCGCCUGGCAACGGGAGACGCGGCGCUGCCUGCGGGACGCGUGGUGGCCGUGGGGCACUAACGCCGUACGAGGCACGGGCUGCCUGUCGUGGGGAGAAGGAGGAGGAAGGCUAUCGGCUGCCCACCCCUCUCACCCUACCGGGCCCCUCCAGGCAGAAAGGCUUCAGUGCCCCCGGGCAGUGCCGUGGUUGCGCUGUGAUUCCAGGCAGGGCAGCAGCCAUGGCUGCACUCACCCUGUCCCAGAUGCUGGAUGCCGCUCUCGGCUCUCCCCAUCUCGUCAACUUUGGGGAGCUGCACAGCUUUCUGCAGGCCGUACUCCGGCAUCUGGGGCUGCAGGAUCUGCCUGCCCAGGAGCAGGGGCACAGCCCGACCCCCCUCCUGGAGGGACACCCUGGAGAAGAAGGGGGACAGAGCAGAGGCCUCGGCACAGGGCUUGAGCCAGUCGUCCCCGCAAAGGACACGCUGCAGGGAACUAUGAGCACCCCUCAGGUCACCUCUGUGGCCAUCAAGAUGGGGCAGAUGAAGGAGAAGAUGGAAGCAAACAACAGUGGCAUCUCCAAGGCUCUCCUCGAGGAGAUCAACAGGAUAAAGGCAGCACAAGCCUGCAUGGAAGAGGACAUCCAGAGGAUCCAGGAGGCGCUUGGCUUGAAAAGACUGGAGGAAAGGCUGAGGCUCUGCCCAGCCCUAGAGGAGGAGGACAGUGAGGGCCAGACAGCUCCUGCUGAGCCCCCUAAGUCAGACAAGGAUACCCAGUGCAGGGCAAGCCUAGCACUGGGGCCAAAGGGACCACCUGAGAAGUGGGCAGCUGCUCCCUCAGUUCGGACAAGGACUUCUGAUGGCAGUGCCAGCACCCCAGGAACACAGCCAGGGUCCCACAGCACCCAAACCCCCACCCUGGGGGCACAGACAGGAUCCUCUUGCACCCAGACUCCCACCCUAGGGAUACAGCCAAGGUCCCCCAGCAUCCAGACCACCAUGCAGGGAGUGCAGGCAGUACUUCCAGGGACUCAAGAAGAAGGAGCAGAAGUUCAGCCAAGCUGCAACAUGGAGAUGGUGGCGGCUUUUUGCCAAAUCCGGCAGCUCAGCCACCUCUAUGCCACCCUGAAGGAGCAGGUGGCCCAGCUGGCAAUCACCAAGUCAGACCGCACCGAACUUCAGAAGUUCCACCUGCUCUUCCCAGAGGGAGAUCAGGAGAACAUCACCAGUGUCCUGGCUGAUCUCUGGGGCCAGAUGUCUUCCCUGCAGGGCCUGGCCAGUGACCUGCAGGGUGAGAAGGGCAAGAUCAGGCAGCUGGAGGAUGCUCUUGGAAAGCUGCAAGUGUCUGAAGCUGACUGGACAGCAGAUGGCAGCCACAAAACCACCCUGCAACUGGGGCUGGUGCUGCAGGAAUUAAAGCAAGAGAUGGGAGAGCAGCAGCAGAAGAACCAGGCCGUGCUGGAGCAGCUGGUGGCCAAGAGUGCUGACCAGCUGCAGGCACAGCUGGACCAGCUGAGGGUGAUGGUGAAGAGCCCGUGGCAGGAAGAGGCACAGACAGCACGCCUCAUCUGCAGCAGGGACACCAGCGUGCAGGUGGAGCAGCUCCUGCAGCGCUAUGAGAAGCUGCAGGAGCAGGUGGAAUCCUUUGUGUGCCAGCAGGCAGUGGGCAAGGUGGCAAGGCAGUUGCUGGAGAGGAACCAGCAGGAUGAGAAGCUGCUGAAGCACAUCCAGGUCACCAUUGUGCAGCUGCAAGGAGAGAAUGAGAGGCUUAGCUCCAUUGUGGAAAACCUCCAGGAUGGCUUUCAGGAGAAGCAGAAAGAUAUUGAGGCUCUGUUUCAGUCCCUGGAGAAGCUGGAGAAAGAGAAAGCAGACAAGGAGGACCUGGCAGUUGAUGCGAAAGCAACCAAAUCCACCCUGGGCAGCAAAGUCAGCCGCGGCCAGUUUGAGGCCAGCAUGGAGCGGCUGAUGGAGAUGAUGGAGAAGAUGCAGAGCCAGGGGGUGGCCCAGGAGCAGGGCUUGCAGCAGGUCCAGCAACAGCUCAGGGAAGUGAUGGACCACAAGCUGGACCGCCUCGAGCUGGGGCCCGUCCAGCAGCAACUGGAGCACUGUCAGAACAUCCUGAAGCGGCUGAAGGACAAGGUGUCGCAGACGGAGGCUGAUGAUGCAGCUGGGAUUAAGAGCCAACAGCAGCUUCCUGACACUAGAGAAGGCAUGAGGAGGGGGAUCCUGCAGGACCGGGCGCUCCCAAACAAACACUGGGGUGUGGGUACAAAGGCUUUCUGGGCGGGGAUGGCAGCUCAUGUCCCCGGGCAGGGCUGCUGUUGGAGUGGUGUGAGGGCCAGUUCAGUGCACCCUUCACUCCUUGUCCCUGCCCACCCUGGGCAGCCAUGGGCAGCUGCUGGGUUUCGGAGCAGGUGGCAGGGCUGAGGCAAGCAUGUCCUGGUCCUCGGGCAGCGGUGACAAAGCUCAUCCUAAACACCAUUGGAACGCUGCAUCCUCCCGGCCCAGCGUUUGCUCCCAGGCUGGGAGCAUCCCACCCCAGCAAGAGGUACCAGAAUCUCUUUUUUUAGUCCUUGCCAGCACCAUUUCCCAUGGACAGGAGUGCAGUGGGUACCCGUGGGAGCAGUUCCUAAGGUUGUGGUGGGGUUUGGAUGCUCCUCUCUGUGGUUUCUCUGGUACGAGGUUGAGAUUUUUCCCAGGUGGGAGCCCACAACCAACCACUCUCCCUCCUCACAGUCCCUCUAUUCUGGAAGCAGCCAGCAGGUAGGGAUCUCGUAGGGUGGUGGGGGAUAAACUAGGCUCAAACCCCUACGGUUCCUCCUACAAACACCAUAACCUGCUACAGGGAGGUGCCCAGCUCCUUGCUGCUGCAUGCAAGCUGUGUCCCCUAGAAGCUCACUCAGCCUUUUUCUCACCUCUCCAGGUAUCCACUGGCCCAUUGUCACUGCUUGUCCUGUGACCAUCCCCUCAACACACCGGCACCUGGCCCGUGAGUGGUACCCAGCACCAUGGGGGGAGAUGUGCGCUGGCAGUGCCCUGCUGUGCAGGAUACAAGGGCUUAUGUGUCAGCCAGAGUGUCUGACUCUGCCAAGCCCCCUCCACAGCCCUGCCUGGCAGCAGGGAGAUAGUGACUCCUGCCCAGGGACUGGGGGUUGCCAUAGGGUACAAGCCGAUGGGUUUGGGAUGCUGCCCCGAGCUGGGGUGGGUCAUUUCUUCAAUCACCCACAUGUGGCUCCUGCCCUCCCCAGCAAAAACAUGGCCCUCCCGUUGCUGCCGCUGAUGCUCCCCUGCCCUGCCAGGGGCACUCCCACUGUCUUCAAGCCACAGGAAACACAGCAGCACAACAACAGGAAGCAGGCAACUGAGCACAGCUUUCCCAGCGUGCCACGGAGCAGUG